UCGGGUAUGGUGUAGCGGUAACAUCGCUGGUUUUCAUAUAUUCUCUUCUCAAGAGAAUUAAAGAUCUCUCAGUAGCCCGGGGUUCGACUCCCCGUAUCCGAG